rnacentral:misc_RNA from 1 species
AAAAAAAUAACUUAAGAACAAUCCCAAGUCAUAACCAGUAAAAAUCCUGUAAGGAACCAAAACCAGCAACUGUAACGCUGAAAUAGAAGGGAGCCGAUUGCCCCUUAACUCUAGAAACACCCUAAGUGUUGAAAGACCGAACAAAAUGUAGCAAAAGCAAAACUUUAAAAAGACCCAAGACUUAAAACCCUCCCAAACUGCACCAAAUCAACCAGCAGCUUAUGGGAUUGCUGCACAAACUCUGAGGUGACAUUGGGAAGAUAAACCGGAGGGCAGGACUUGCCGAACGCACUCUCAUUCGCUGGCGCGUGAAAUAGGGCAGAAAAACAAAAGUGGUGCAUGAGAGCCACUCACUGGACGUCCGAUGACUAGAUGGUAGGCCAGUCGGUGGACUAGAAGUGCUUUGGGAUAGGCGAUGAGACAAACAAGUAACCCUAGGUAGGUGAUCCAAAAAACCCAGUAGGUUUGAACCCCCCAAAAAACUAACGAGAAGGAAGACUUAAUAGGGCAGUUUGUGGGUAACGAAAAACAUGGGAGAAAAUUCAAAAAUAAAAUU